rnacentral:rRNA from 1 species
UACGUAGGUGGCAAGCGUUUGUCCGGAAUUAUUGGGCGUAAAGCGCGCGCAGGCGGUCCUUUAAGUCUGAUGUGAAAGCCCACGGCUCAACCGUGGAGGGUCAUUGGAAACUGGGGGACUUGAGUACAGAAGAGGAAAGUGGAAUUCCACGUGUAGCGGUGAAAUGCGUAGAGAUGUGGAGGAACACCAGUGGCGAAAGCGGCUUCCUGGUCCAGCACCGACGUUCAGGCACGAAAGCGUGGGGAGCAAACAGGG